rnacentral:rRNA from 1 species
ACACGUAGGGGCCUGACGUUGUUCGGAAUCAUUGGGCGUAAAGGGCGCGCAGGCGGCCGUCCAAGUCCGGUGUUAAAUGGUCGGGCUCAACCCGAUCAUGCGCUGGAAACUGGGCGGCUUGAGUCCCGUAGGGGAUGCCGGAAUUCCAGGUGUAGGGGUGAAAUCUGUAGAUAUCUGGAAGAACACCGAUGGCGAAGGCAGGCAUCUGGCCGGAGACUGACGCUGAGGCGCGAAGGCGCGGGGAGCGAACAGGUUUAGAUACCCUGGUAGUCCGCGCAGUAAACGAUGCGCACCAGGUGUCGGGCGGCAGCGCCCGGUACCGGAGCUAACGCGAUGAGUGCGCCGCCUGGGGAGUAUGCCCGCAAGGGUGAAACUUAAAGGAAUUGACGGGG